rnacentral:ribozyme from 12 species
AGAAGAGGGAGGAACCUGUUUUAUCGUCUUUAUCAAGACUUCUUUCUAUUUUUCCUUCAUCAUUAUUCUCUCCAUUUCUUCUUCUUCUUCUUUCUCCU